GAGAAAAAACGGUACAGAUUGAAAUAACAAAAAUUUUGGUUGUUUUUCAACCUAAGGAAAUUGUUAUUUUUAAUUUGAAAAUAGUUCUUUCAAUUUAAUAAGAUCUUGCAGAAUCGGUUAUUGGCCAUAAGGAAAUUGCAAUAUUUGCUGAUUUAUUUCGAUGCCAUCUAUGGAAAACAUUCCCUGGGGAAACUUGAGCCACCUCUGCGCAACCACCAACUUCGGCAAAAAGUGGCACACAGGUUAAUCUUAUAAUUGACAUCCACUAGGGCCUGCGUCAUCGAACAGAAUCAGGCUUUUUAUACGGUUUUCAUUAGCCACACAAAAAUCGAAAUUGUUGCCGUCUGAAAUCUGAUUGCGCUAGUCCAGAUUAAUUGCAUGUUCCAGAGAGCCAAUCGGGUUUUGGAAUCAACAGGUUCACCCGAACCAGCGAUCCAGUGUUCGAAUCGGAGCAGAACCAUUGCCUUUGCUUGGAAUUUCCCAGAAUGUGUGGACUGUUCAUAGAGGCUGGGAUUGAAUUAGAAAUGUUCUAUCCAAAAACAGCAGAAAUAAGGUUUUUUUGUUGACAAAAAUGGGAAAUUCGCAUCAGAAUUGUAAAUGUGAUUUAUUACAUUAAUAAAUAAAAUGGUGAAACUUUA